CAGUAGCCGCGGGAAUACGGAGGAUCCAAGCGUUAUCCGGAAUCAUUGGGUUUAAAGGGUCCGUAGGCGGUCUUGUAAGUCAGUGGUGAAAGCCCAUCGCUCAACGGUGGAACGGCCAUUGAUACUGCAGGACUUGAAUUAUUGGGAAGUAACUAGAAUAUGUAGUGUAGCGGUGAAAUGCUUAGAGAUUACAUGGAAUACCAAUUGCGAAGGCAGGUUACUACCAAUUGAUUGACGCUGAUUGACGAAAGCGUGGGUAGCGAACAGGAUUAGAUACCCCCGUAGUCCCUGUCUCUUAUAC
rnacentral:rRNA from 1 species